rnacentral:rRNA from 1 species
CAGUCGCCGCGGUAAUACAGAGGGUGCGAGCGUUAAUCGGAUUUACUGGGCGUAAAGCGUGCGUAGGCGGCUUCUUAAGUCGGAUGUGAAAUCCCUGAGCUUAACUUAGGAAUUGCAUUCGAUACUGGGAAGCUAGAGUAUGGGAGAGGAUGGUAGAAUUCCAUGUGUAGCGGUGAAAUGCGUAGAGAUCUGGAGGAAUACCGAUGGCGAAGGCAGCCAUCUGGCCUAAUACUGACGCUGAGGUACGAAAGCAUGGGGAGCAAACAGGAUUAGAUACCCCAGUAGUCCCUGUCUCUUAUAA